GGUCGGUCUCCUCCAGAGCAGGCUGCUUCUCUGGAUCGGCUUUAUCGUUCUGUUCCCAUUUCUUCUGGAUCUGUUUGGAAGAUCACCUCGGCUUUAAUUCACAACGUCAACGACGACAGUCAAAGCAAAACUAGAAACCUCAUGUUUCACGUCAGGAAGUGUUCGAUGAGAAACAUGAAGUAGACUCCACCCAGAGCGGUCAGGCCCUUCCACACGGCGUCCAGGUUUUCACCUUGUUCACCGUGGACGUCGUGUCCUCCCACACUCAUCCCAGAAUCCUCGUGGUGGUGAUGGUGGCCUCCCUGAGACUGAAACACAGUUUGUGGACAAAGAAAUACGGAGACACUGGUCUGAGACCAGUUCCUGUCAAACGCUGGUUUGUCUGUUUGCAGUAACUCUACGAGGCCUGAGCAUCCAAACCCAGGUGACCACGAUGGUUUAUGUUCCUCGGGGUACGGUAGGUAAGGUCCAGUGUGCAGGUGGA